rnacentral:tRNA from 1 species
AAACAACCGCCGGUUGAACGGAAAUCAUUGAUGUUGAUUAAUAAGAAAAUAUAUUUUCGUUGUUUA